rnacentral:rRNA from 1 species
GAUGAACGCUGGCGGCGUGCCUAAUACAUGCAAGUCGAGCGAACGGACGAGAAGCUUGCUUCUCUGAUGUUAGCGGCGGACGGGUGAGUAACACGUGGAUAACCUACCUAUAAGACUGGGAUAACUUCGGGAAACCGGAGCUAAUACCGGAUAAUAGUUUGAACCGCAUGGUUCAAAAGUGAAAGACGGUCUUGCUGUCACUUAUAGAUGGAUCCGCGCUGCAUUAGCUAGUUGGUAAGGUAACGGCUUACCAAGGCAACGAUGCAUAGCCGACCUGAGAGGGUGAUCAGGCACACUGGAACUGAGACACGGGCCAGACUCCUACGGGAGGCAGCAGUGGGGAAUUUUGUACAAUGGGCGAAAGCAUGAUCCAGCAAGGCCGCGUGUGUGAAGAAGGUCUUCGGAUCGUAAAGCACUUGAAGUCGGGAAGAAAGGAAGUAAGAGAAGCUCUGCCCGUCUUGACGGUACCAAAAGAAUAAGCACCGGCUAACUUCGUG